rnacentral:pre_miRNA from 1 species
GUAAGAUGGAAUCAGCGUUUGGACAUGCGAUCUUACGCUGAUUGCAUCUCAUGA